AAGCUGAAUGUCUCGCCUAUAAAGUAAACAAAAAAAUCACAAAUGGAACCUGCUCCUCUGAGCAGGAUGUGGAAAUCUCCUACUGUGAAGGAAGCUGCAAUACCACAUCAAAGUACUCUGAAUAUUCCAAUUCAAUGAAACAUACGUGCAGGUGUUGCCAGGAGAUGAAGACUAGCCAACGGCAGGUCAAUCUGAAAUGCGAAGAUGGAAGCAGUUUAUUAUACUCGUACAUCUAUGUAGAGGAGUGUGCCUGCACAACCACUAAAUGCGAGAGGAUGCCCUAAUUAUGAAUGUUAACUGUGACAACAUCAAAAUUAUAUCUUCUCCGACAUCUUGUUCCUCUGGAAUAAAGAAACUAUCCUGGAAUAUAAAACCUAUUUCUUUUUCUUAAUUUGUAAGUUUUACCAUUGCUUUUUCUCUGAAUUUGAAUGCAUAUCUGUAUCUAAUCAUGUACAAAUCUGAUUCUUUAUAAUGAAUAAUUACAAACAUUGGUGAAUUCUUUAUUGGGAUGUAUUGGGAAAACUUUAAAACUGUAUAGAAAAUCAAUAACAUAUUUUAUCAGAAAUUUUCCUCCUACAAAUAAAUGAGGUUUCUCUUUACGAGGAAGAUGCAUCAAUUACCUAUAGCUGCUAUACUCAAUUUGUAUUUCACAUUGAAAGAGUUGGAAUUUUAGAGAAUUAGUGACGUACUUACGACCAGAAUUCAGCAUUUAUACUCUCAUGACUUUGCUAUGGUUCUGUGACAUGUUCAUUAAUUUCUUUAUUCCAAGUAGUAAUUCCAAGUAGUAAUGUAUUGAUGUAAACUUUCAUCUUCUAUGUACUUUUUGAAUUGAUAUUUUUUAAAGUAAAGAUUCAAGAUUAUAUUUUCAUGAAAAAAA